CAGGUGUAGUUCAAUGGUAGAACCUCAGCCUUCCAAGCUGAUGACGCGGGUUCGAUUCCCGCUACCUG
rnacentral:tRNA from 3 species